CCUACGGGUGGCAGCAGUGGGGGAUAUUGCACAAUGGGGGGAACCCUGAUGCAGCGACGCCGCGUGGGUGAAGGAGUAUUUCGGUAUGUAAAGCCCUAUCGGCAGGGAAGAAAUUGGACGGUACCUGACUAAGAAGCCCCGGCUAACUACGUGCCAGCAGCCGCGGUAAUACGUAGGGGGCAAGCGUUAUCCGGAUUCACUGGGUGUAAAGGGAGCGUAGACGGCCAUGCAAGCCAGGGGUGAAAGCCCGGGGCCGAACCCCGGGACUGCCCUUGGAACUGCAUGGCUGGAGUGCGGGAGGGGCAGGCGGAAUUCCUGGUGUAGCGGUGAAAUGCGUAGAUAUCAGGAGGAACACCGGCGGCGAAGGCGGCCUGCUGGACCGCGACUGACGUUGAGGCUCGAAAGCGUGGGGAGCGAACAGGAUUAGAUACCCGAGUAGUC
rnacentral:rRNA from 1 species